rnacentral:rRNA from 1 species
UACGAGAGACAUAAGAGUGCACGGUGGAUGCCUUGGCCUAGGACGGCUAUGAAGGACGCGACUAACCUGCGAAAAGCUUCGGGGAGGCGGUUUGUAGCCUUUGAUCCGGAGAUGUCCGAAUGGGGAAACCCUUCCAGUCUUGAACUGGAAAUCCGCGGAGUAACGUCUGCGAGAAGCGAACCCGGGGAAGUGAAACAUCUCAGUACCCGGAGGAAAAGAGAACAAUAGGAGUUGCGUUCCGCUCACGCGUAUGUUCGUGUGAGUGGAACGCAACUCUCGUGAUACCCCUAGUAGCGGCGAGCGAAAAGGGAAAAGCCCAAACCGAAGUCUUCGGGCUUCGGGGUUGUAAGGUAUAAGCUUCGUACUUGUACGAGAAGAGUUAUCAAUCGUCUUUAUAGCGGAAGCUGUUGGAAAGCAGCGCCACAGAGGGUAAUGGCCCCGUACGCGAAAUGAAGUCGACUCUUGCUUAUAUUCUUGAGUAACUCGAGACACGAAUAGCUCGAGUGAAUCUGCCGGAACUAACCGGUAAGGCUAAAUACGUCCUAUGACCGAUAGUGAACUAGUACCGUGAGGGAAAGGUGAAAAGCACCCCGAGAGGGGAGUGAAAUAGACCUGAAACCGUGUACUUACA